UCUCAGCCUUCCAAUAGGCUCUCGGCCCCGCCCCGCCCGUUCCUGCUUCCGCCAUCGCUGCGCCGCGUCCGCUUUGCCCUGCAAUUUUCCCAGUGCCGGUUUCUAGUGCUUGCUGUCCAACUUCAGGGUAUUUUUGCUCUCGCUCAGAGUUCAGACCUCCGCCCCGGCCAUUUAGUCCCGUGGUCACAAGGAGCAGUUGCUGUGUUAGGACCCAGUGGAUGAUGAAACUCACCAGAGACCACAUAGCUAGAGAAUGGCCAGACUCAGUUUUGAAUCUAAGCAAUCUUGACUCCAGAGCCCUCCAGCUUAAAGAUACAAAAGGCAAGAAGCUGUGAACAUGGGGAUUGCAUCCACUAGAAGCCUCCAUCAUUUCAGCUUUGUGACAACUUCCCUGGAAACUGAACAUCUUGAAGAAUGAAGUUUUUUUAUUGCAAAGUU